rnacentral:rRNA from 1 species
UACGUAGGGGGCUAGCGUUGCUCGGAAUCACUGGGCGUAAAGCGCACGUAGGCGGAUUCUUAAGUCGGUGGUGAAAUCCUGGAGCUCAACUCCAGAACUGCCUUCGAUACUGAGAGUCUUGAGUUCGGGAGAGGUGAGUGGAACUGCGGGUGUAGAGGUGAAAUUCGUAGAUAUUCGCAAGAACACCAGUGGCGAAGGCGGCUCACUGGCCCGAUACUGACGCUGAGGCGCGAAAGCGUGGGGAGCAAACAGG